rfam:Parcubacteria bacterium GW2011_GWA2_43_9b TW11_C0031, whole genome shotgun sequence.
GCGAGUGUAGUACAGUGGCAGUACACUUGCUUCCCAAGCAAGAUAUGAGGGUUCGAUUCCCUUCACUCGCU